rnacentral:rRNA from 1 species
UACGAAGGGGGCUAGCGUUGUUCGGAAUCACUGGGCGUAAAGCGCACGUAGGCGGAUCUUUAAGUCAGGGGUGAAAUCCCGAGGCUCAACCUCGGAACUGCCUUUGAUACUGGGGGUCUCGAGUCCGGGAGAGGUGAGUGGAAUUCCUAGUGUAGAGGUGAAAUUCGUAGAUAUUAGGAAGAACACCAGUGGCGAAGGCGGCUCACUGGCCCGGUACUGACGCUGAGGCGCGAAAGCGUGGGGAGCAAACAGGG